UGCCAGCCGCCGCGGUAAUACGGAGGGUGCAAGCGUUGCUCGGAAUCACUGGGCGUAAAGCGCACGCAGGCGGUUCAGCAAGUCGGAUGUGAAAUCCCAGGGCUCAACCCUGGAACUGCAUCCGAAACUGCUGGACUUGAGUACGAGAGAGGGUGGCGGAAUUCCCAGUGUAGAGGUGAAAUUCGUAGAUAUUGGGAGGAACAUCAGUGGCGAAGGCGGCCACCUGGCUCGAUACUGACGCUCAUGUGCGAAAGCGUGGGGAGCAAACAGGAUUAGAUA
rnacentral:rRNA from 1 species